GACGAGGGGUCCAAGCGUUGUUCGGAAUCAUUGGGCGUAAAGCGGGUGUAGGUGGCUCUAUAAGUCAGAAGUGAAAGCCCCGGGCUUAACCCGGGAAGUGCUUUUGAUACUGCAGAGCUUGAAUGUGGGAGAGGGUAGUGGAAUUCCAGGUGUAGUGGUGAAAUACGUAGAUAUCAGGAGGAACACCAAUGGCGAAGGCAGCUCGCUGGGACGGUACUGACGCUGAGGCGCGAAAGCGUGGGGAGCAAACAGG
rnacentral:rRNA from 1 species